GCUAGGUGUGGUUAGCACACACCUGUAAUCCCAGCUCCUCAGGAGGCUGAGGCAGGAGUAUGGCAAGUUCAAGGACAGCUUGGGCAACUUAGCAAGACCCUGCCUCAA
rnacentral:sRNA from 1 species